CUUUGCAUGCCUGCUGUUUUCCAUGCAAGGAGCGGGGUUUGCUUUCCCUGUCAUGUAGAUGACUUCGGGAUCCUCUUUGCCUGGGCCUACGUGGAGGUGCUUUGGUUGGGAAACGCCACAUUCCGGGAGAAAUCUGAGCACAUCGGCUGUUAAGUUCCAGCAGUUCACGAAUAGUUUUUACAUGGAGACAUUUUAUCGGGGAAAGAAAGGGAUGGCCAAAGGGGAAAAACGAGGGCUUGCUCCGCAGAGUCUCCGGGCUUCUCUUGUGGUUGGGGAAAGCAGUGCUUAUGGAGAGAGGAGGAAGAGAGCUCAGUAACUGAAGAAAUACAAAUCCUCAACAGUUUGAAAUUCUCCUCAGGGCCGAAGUAUAAGGCCAAGAUAAGCAGCUUAGUACCCUCCAACCCGUGUCCAUGCUAGCCCAGGCUGAUGGGAACUGAAGUCAAAAACUGGAGGCAUCUUGUUGCCAUUACUUGCAGUGUGCAGGGUGAAAAAGAGCAAGAUCCAUAUGUCAGUGGUCUAGGAUGGCCAGUGAAGGCUCCAAUAUCCCAAGCCCUGUGGUGCGUCAGAUUGACAGACAGUUUCUGA